rnacentral:rRNA from 1 species
CGGCGCCUCGUGUGGUGAUCGUUUUUAUUGGGUCUAAAGCGUCCGUAGCCGGUUAAGUAAAUUCUUUGUGAAAUCGUUGGGCUUAACCUAACAACGUGCAAGGAACACUACUUAACUUGAGACCGGGAGGGGACAGAGGUAUUUCAGGGGGAGCGGUUAAAUGCAAUAAUCCUUGGAAGACCGCCAGUGGCGAAGGCUUCUGUCCAGAACGGGUCUGACGGUGAGGGACGAAGGCUAGGGGAUCAAAACGGAUUAGAUACCCGAGUAGUCC